rnacentral:misc_RNA from 1 species
GCAUCGGACUUACGGUCGUGCAUGUUAAUCGUAGUAAAAUUGUAAAUACACUUUGAAAUUAAAAGACGGGUACGCAGGGGGAUAUCGAGGGUGCUUUUUGAUCGUGGGUGGUUAUGGGGUGUGAGUCAGAGUUGCCGCCGCGAAGUUGGUGGGGGUGUUACCUGAAAGAAGAGCAACAGGCGAUAAGCAACCCCGUGGAUUGUCAUUCGCACCCGAGAACCCGUAGGACACAACGCAGUGUCUACAUUUGAUCUCCAGUGAUCUUGAGGGGGAAACAAAGAAAAAGGCUACAUCAGAAGAUGGGUCGGAAUACGUGCGUGAUCGUUCUUCUUGCCGUUUGUGCUCUAUGGACAUUUGGAGAGACGCUUUCCUGCGACCAAUGUGGCCGGGAGUGCGUCAACAGUUGCGGAACGCGACAAUUCAGGGCUUGCUGCUUCAAUAAUCUGAAGAAAAGGGUGCCGGAUGUUGGAUUAAAGCUCUGGGUAGGCCCACCCAGACACACGAGUCAUCUACAUCUUGUUUAUGACGCAUAAAUGAAAGCUUUUUUAUUUAUGCUCUGACCUGGAAUAGUCUUGGGUCAAGUCGUCACAACGAAAGCACGACCUAAAGUUAUUAUUUCUUUGAUUAAUUAUCAGUCUUAUGCGAUUUGUCCAUGUAAUGUUUGAUAAAUGUUCGACGUAACAAUGCUCCGACUAAUAAUUAAGGCACUCAUGAUUCCGUAUAUUAAAACGCCUACAUUUAUUUGCAUGAACCAGCCACGAACGAAAAAAAUUUACCUGUUGUUACAAAAGGCAGAAUAAAAAAAAAAUGUAAUAAUCAAAUAUUGCCCUGUUAAUCUUCGUGCGAUUACUGAGGAAUUCUAUUGGGAUAAUUCAAUCCGUGCUUUGCCGCAAAGAUCGAAAUUAUGUUGCUAAUGGCCAAGUGGCGUACAUAUCAUUUGCUAGAAUCUCUUGAUCAUCGAUAAGCAUGCAAUAAAGUUAACGAUGGUGCAAAUUCAUGCGACUUAAGGAAUUUUUUUACUCAAAAAAAUAGCAAACAACUGUUACGGAUUCCUUGUGUCUGCGGUCCAAAUUGCGGCAUUUCUCGGUAUUCGAAUUAGUUAUAGAUAUUGACGAAUUUUGAAAUGAUCGAUGAAACCGAAAUUAUA